UGAGCUUAGACUGUGAACUUUACAAGUAUUUCUCUCUUUUUUUCCCUCUCUCCUUAGGUAGCUGAGGAUGGCUAAGUGGGUUGGAGUUGAUACUUUCCUCCUCCUUUAUGGAAAGCUAUACUUGACUGAGGUUGGGUUUUCACCUUCUCCCAGGUGAGUUAGGGAGGGACUGAUAACAGCCAGCACAUUAGUUUCUGGUUAAUUUGUUUCUUCUGAGAGCAGGCCUCCUUAAGAACAGAGUGCUCUGGCGUUUUUCAAAAUGGUUCCUUUUCUCUUGCUGCCACUGGAAGCCAGAGGGGAUUCUUCUCUCCUACUUACGCACUGGCUCCCUUCGCAUCUUCUGCUGCUGAGUCUCUGCUCAGAAUCCAGAUGGGUCUUGGAAGAUGACUGUAGACGACUGCAAGCUCAAUCUAGUAGUUGCCUUGAUUGAAGCUUCCAUGACUAAUGUGGUAAGAAGAUCUGUAGACAAGUGUUUCCUAUUCUUGGAAGACAAACCCAGCACAUUUUCAGCAAUUUAUUGGACUUUCACUGCCCAUGUCUUCUAAGAAAUCAGUUUAUCUUUCUUGGUGGAAUCUGUGAACAGAACUGCAUUUCCAAUUGACAGGUGCAGGAAUUUCCCUGGUUAGCUGCCCCUUUGCUCUUUUUCCUGUGCUGUCACCAGAGAGAAAUGACUGGAGGCCUUGGUAAUGAAAACAUUUUCUGACAAAUAGUUCCAUCCAUGUGGAAAGAGGACAACACACGUCCAUAUGCAAACCUCCAUUCAAGUUCCUUCUUCCUAAUAGGGUUUGUUCUUUCUAUGACUGUUCAAAUCAUUCGACCAUUCACAGAAAUUUUAAAAGAGUAAGAAUUUACAGGGGUCAAAGCAAUGGCUAUUGGCUUCUACAUGUAAAGUGGGGUAGGUGGACGAAGGUCAUCUUUGGGACUCUGCUGUUGGUGUUUUCAAGUUAUACUUGUAGAACAUUUUUUUUUUCUUUUCCCGUCCAUUUCAUGGCUAAAUGUCUAAUAUGAGAAAGGUGUCCUAAUGAAAGAAGUACAGUAAUUACCCACUAGAGAGGCAGGAAGCCAUAUAAAGACACCAGUUGGAAAUAAAGGGCCUGGGGCCUGUUUUGUUCAAAGCUAAGGCUUUAAGUGUGUCUUGUAUCUCUCUUGCUUUCUUUUCUCUCUCUGAAAAGAUUUACCUGUCGAUGAGUGAGCACUGUGCAUCCUUAGUGAGAACACAUGGUACUGUGUAACCUCUCCUGGUGGAUUAUUUCAUAUAUCAUUUUAAGUGGGCAAUAAAAGAUAUUGCUAUUUAAGUCAUUAAGAAUAGUGACUUUACAAUGGGGCACUUGCAAAAAAAGAUGGCAUUAAUUUUCCAAACAAUUCUGCCUAGAAAAUCUGUAAGGACAGCCUUGGUAAUGGAAAUAAGUCAGAAGUUCUUUCUACUCCAGAUCCUUGUUGAGCUGGUCUUUUUAGUAGAAUCCCAUGGUCUUUGUUUCACAUCAGUGUCUUAGUUUUAUCCCUUGACAAAACAAGAAAUAUAAUAAAUGUGUGUCUAAGGAUCCAUGCCCUCACUUCAAAUUAAUUCUGUUCCAUUUUCCAUUGCUAGGAUUAAAAUCUCAGAGCUUUCUCCCAUGGUUUAAGGUGGUCACUUUGUGCUUCUUAAAUUUAUAUAGAACAUCUAAAAUGAAUUCUUUUGAUAUUAUUGUUUGACCUUUUGUACCUGUCUCUAUAAUAACAGAAACAGCAGGUUAUAAUUAUAUAAUAACUUACCUGUGUUUUGGUCUUAUGGUGUUUGUUUUUCCGUAUACGGUUUCAAAAUAUAAAAUGCUUUGAGGAAAGGGUAGAUUUUCUUGUUUGAUGGUUACCACUAAGGUCUGAUGGUUAUCAACAAAGCAAUCUUCAUAUUAUAUAUGGUCUUGAAAAUGAAAAAAAAAUUGUUUUCAAAAUCAGUGUAAUCCACUCUUGUCUUAAAGCAAUACCACUAUCUACUAACUAAUAUGCUAACCACCCUCACAGAAUUCCAUAUUCAUUACUUCUUGAAAUCACUUGGGUGAUAUUCAUUUGGUAGAUUCAAAAGUUAUAUGAUUUUUUUAGUCAAAUAGCUUUUAUUUUGUUAAAAAAUGUCAUGAACAGAAUAAUAAGCCAUCCAGGACCUAUAAUGGUAAAUGUAGAUAUCAAUUAACAUUGUUUUACUGGGGGAAAAAUCUAUGUAGAGUAUCUGUGGACUAAAGAAUCUUAUUUCCAUGCAUCAAAAGACGGUCUAAUGAUUUCUCAUGGUUUUACUACAACAGACAUGGUGCCUUACACGUGUGUCUAUAGUAAGUGGAUCUACUUUGGGGGGAAGUUAAUAAUCAACCCAUUUUCUAGUUUAAAUUCUAAAAAAUACCAUCAUUGGACAUUGUUACAGUACAUCUUAAUUCAGCUAACAGUAUAAACCUAUAAAACCUUAAGUGUUAUUUCAUAUUCAGUCUUCUGUAUGUCUUAAAAAUAUUAAAAGUGGCUACACACAAGAAAGGUAAAAGUAUCCAUUAAUCCAAGAAUAUUCUUGAAACAAUGUAGACAGUGGUUCCAUGAACUUGAGUCAGUCUGCUGAGUUUAAAUUUUGGUUUCACCUACUGGGUGUGUCACCGUGGGAAAGUUAUAAGACUCCUUCAACUAUCAGCUUCCUCAUCUAUAAAAUAAUUCCAGGACUUAAUUCCUGGGUUAUUGUGAAGGCUACAUGAUAGAGUAUAUGAGAUGAUUAGAACAAAUCAAGGUACCAAAUAGCACAAAUUAAGUGGCAGUUAAUUUGUGAGCUGGUCCAAACUAUUAGCUAUGUUUUUCCUUCCAGGAAUAAGAGAAUUACUAAAUAG